rnacentral:rRNA from 1 species
UACGAAGGGGGCUAGCGUUGUUCGGAAUACUGGGCGUAAAGCGCGCGCAGGCGGCCAUUCAAGUCAGGGGUGAAAGCCCAGAGCUCAACUCUGGAACUGCCCUUGAAACUGUAUGGCUUGAGUAUGAGAGAGGUGAGUGGAAUUCCCAGUGUAGAGGUGAAAUUCGUAGAUAUUGGGAAGAACACCGGUGGCGAAGGCGGCUCACUGGCUCAUUACUGACGCCUCGAGGCGCGACAGACGUGGGAUCAAACAGG